rnacentral:lncRNA from 1 species
GCCGCGGGGUGGGAGCCCAGACGCACACCGCGCAUGCUCCGAGCGCGGCGCCCCCGACGCGGCGCUCGGCUCGGCUCGGGCAUUUCCGCCUCUUUGUUUUAAACUCCGGACGGGCUUUUUUCUCCUCCUCUUGGGGGGGACCCACAGGGAGCGGCGCCCCCUCCCCCCUCCGGCGCGGACCCCGCGUGCGCCUUGCUCGCCCGCAGCCCCGAGACCGCAGGCGUCACAAUGUAGCAGGGACCCCAGGCGUCGUGCUCAGAAAAUGGAAAAAGAGCCAGGGCCGGAAGGAGGGUGCAGAAGCGAGUCCCCGUGCGGAGCCAGGAGGCAGCGUCGCGUGGGAGUGCUGGCCUGAAGCCUCCAUGCCCCGGCAGAGGGACGGACACGCGGACGUCUAGCGGAGGUGAGGCCCACGCCCCCCGACACCCGGGGUCCUGCUGACUCCUUGCCCUGCCCUGUUGCUGGUUGUGGCGAGGGCCGGCGAUCAUUAGGAGCCAGCUGGUCAGGACACGAUGCAGUGUUCAGGGUUCACUGCCGAGUUUUCCUGGCCCCUCCUGUGAGAGUCCAAGGUCCAGCCAGCUGUGGGGGACCCAGGCCUCGAUGGCAGUGCGGGGUGCAGAGGGCUGGUCUCCUUCCGUCACUGGUUCACUUGGGUUCCCGGCGUGUCGCCGAGGAGCAGUGCUGCUUGGGGCCCGAGCCUGGGGCCUCAGCCCAGUGAGUUGUGAGGCGGUCGACUAGCAUCAUGCAGGGAGGUCCUCAGGGGCGCAGGGCAGGGCUGUCUCUCCCCUCCUGGGUGCUCUGUUCCCUCCUGGGUGGGCGUGGCCCUCAGGGGUGUAGGGCGGGCCUCCGCCUCUCUCUCCCUCGUGGGUGGGCGAGGUGCCUCGGGCUAGGGCAGGUCG